rnacentral:rRNA from 1 species
AUUGAACGCUGGCGGCAGGCCUAACACAUGCAAGUCGAACGAGUGGCGGACGGGUGAGUAAUGUAUGGGAAACUGCCCGAUGGAGGGGGAUAACUACUGGAAACGGUAGCUAAUACCGCAUACCAUCGGAUGAGCCCAGAUGGGAUUAGCUUGUAGGUGAGGUAAUGGCUCACCUAGGCGACGAUCCCUAGCUGGUCUGAGAGGAUGAACAGCCAAACUGGAACUGAGACACGGCCCAGACUCCUACGGGAGGCAGCAGUGGGGAAUAUUGCACAAGGGGCGCAAGCCUGAUGCAGCCAUGCCGCGUGUAUGAAGAAGGCCCUAGGGUUGGAAAGUACUUUCAGCGGGGAGGCGUUACCGGCAGAAGAAGCACCGGCUAACUCCGUGCCAGCAGCCGCGGUAAUAC